CCUUGUCUGUAAAGCAGAAACCUGAAAACAAUCCAAGUGGCUAUUCACUGGAGGGAGCAGCACAUCUUCUGAAAUCUCUACUCAGCUUUUCCAGCCUUCCAAGUGUUGCUUUCCAUUUGGAAUUCUGCCCUGUUUAUGUAUAAUACAGGAACCCGCCAAGAACUUGAUGAGACUAUACAAGGCAAAGUUGGGGGCUUCUAUGGCUUCCUCCUUUCUGGGAUGUGCCCCCACACAAGUGUGCAGCGGCCAAGAACGUCCUGAAGUGACUUGGCUCCUGGGCCUAGUAAGCCUGCCACCUUCUGUUUUAUUCCCUGUGAGCCACAUGAGGUUUCACUUCUUCUGAUGGUUCGUGCUCUCCCUCUCUUGCCGGUAUCUCAGCAGGCUCUAGUGCUUUUCAAAUAGUGUGUGUAAUGAUCAGGCGUAGGCUGGUCUGACACAUGCUGCUCUGCCCUUCCUGGAUGCCAGACUGUAAUCAGAUGUUUAAGUGUUAAAAUAAACUCCAACUUCCUUUUCUUUAUCUGGAUGAUGGAUAUGCUAGUGCUUUCACUUUGUGAAAAACUAUCAAGGUGUGUGUUUAUG
rnacentral:lncRNA from 10 species